rnacentral:rRNA from 1 species
UGGGGAAUAUUGGACAAUGGGCGCAAGCCUGAUCCAGCCAUGCCGCGUGUGUGAAGAAGGCCUUUUGGUUGUAAAGCACUUUAAGCGAGGAGGAGGCUACUUGGAUUAAUACUCUAGGAUAGUGGACGUUACUCGCAGAAUAAGCACCGGCUAACUCUGUGCCAGCAGCCGCGGUAAUACAGAGGGUGCGAGCGUUAAUCGGAUUUACUGGGCGUAAAGCGUGCGUAGGCGGCUUCUUAAGUCGGAUGUGAAAUCCCUGAGCUUAACUUAGGAAUUGCAUUCGAUACUGGGAAGCUAGAGUAUGGGAGAGGAUGGUAGAAUUCCAGGUGUAGCUGUGAAAUGCGUAGAGAUCUGGAGGAAUACCGAUGGCGAAGGCAGCCAUCUGGCCUAAUACUGACGCUGAGGUACGAAAGCAUGGGGAGCAAACAGG